AUGUACACAGCUAAUCCCAGAGUGAAUGUGGAGCUGCGACAGCGUCUGCCUGCACCGCAGCCACUCAGCAGCCCUGCCAGAUCUGGGAUCAGUCUGAGUCUGGACCACACUGACUGGCCUCAGGCCCCUCAACACCUUGAAGAGCCUCCAACCUCCUGCUCACCCUCCCCGUUGACCCACAGGAGGUCCGUCUCUCCUGUCUCACCUCCCUUCCACAGGAGGUCCGUCUCUCCUGUCUCACCUCCCUUCCACAGGAGGUCCGUCUCUCCUGUCUCACCUCCCCUCCACAGGAGGAGGUGCAGGGGAGAUGGAGACGGACCUUUCCCCCAGCCGAGGCCCUUCUCCUCGGGCAGAGAGCUGUGGAGACGUCCCCGAUGGAGGACGAGCAUCCAGAGGUCCUGGUAG
rnacentral:lncRNA from 15 species